rnacentral:rRNA from 1 species
UGCCACAGCCAUAUCACCCUGCAGCCCAAGACUGGUUGCCCACUGAAGCUAAGCAGGGUUGAGCUGGUCAGUACCUGGAUGGGAGACCUCCUGGGAAAACUAGGUUGCUGUUGGAG